CUUGAAAUCUUAUAAUUCUGUUGUGUUCAGUGCAUGAAAAAAAGCUGGCUAUACAACAAGAAGAAAACCAUUAUAUUAUUUUGCUUUUUGUUAGGGAAAUAACAUAUUAUGGAUAGGCGCUCUGCUUCUGCUGAAAAUGUUUGUUCACCUCUUGGAUAUGAUCCUCAUACUACCUGUCUUCCAGCUGUCAGUUCAUGAUUCAGGCAGGAGCUUGCAGGGAUAUGUGCGUUGGCUGGAGGGGAUGUCUGGAGGAGCUGGGAAGCAACCAGAUGACUGACAGCGAUUCAGGCGAGACUCGACAUGGAGGGGACAGGCGAACAGACCUGCUUCUUCCUUUGUGUUGCCAGUCAGGUCCUCCCUCUGCAGUCUUACACAGGAAGAAGAUUUAUAACAGCUGCAUGCAAUGCCAGUGUCUCAAAGAGACAGUAUCACGCCAUGUGGAGGAUUUUCAUAUGGGGUUUAACUUUGCUCCACUGAAUUGGAAAGUUGUAUGUAGAUUUCUCUAACGGAAUAGAGAGCUUUCACUCCAGAUGGAAUAAUCAGGUACAUGUGACUCCGGAGGGGACUGAAUCAACCAAAAGAGAAAUGGCCUAAAUGCUUGCUUUAACGAAAAUACAGAGUUAACCACAACAGCAGAGUAUUUGAGAGCACUUUAAUGGUUGCCUAGCAAAAGCCUGUACAACUUGAGAAAAGGGUAAAGGCCUUAAAAAGCCUGUCUGAAGGAGGUGAUGAAACAGAGGAGAGACAUGGACGAUGGAACAGUAGAAAGAGAUGCAACAGGCUCAUAAAGACGAAAACCAGUAUCUGCCAAAGGGAAAUAUUUGAGGUCCAGCAUCCCAACCAUUAAUUCCAGGAAACACGACCCACCGAACAACCCAAAGUACUUUCAGGAAGAACACGUGGAACUGCUCCAGGGACCAACCCAAACCUGAUCUCAGAAGAUUGGUUGCCAGAUCCAUUUAAAGUUUCUGCGUGCAAGUAAGGAUAAACAGUGAAGAUGGAUGCCACUCCCUGUUAUUCGCAGAAGACAGGAUGCCAUCAGGGAAGAAAGAGCUCACUAGAGAUAUAUGCACUUACAUGUGAAUAAACUUAAGCCAGAUGUAUUUUUAAGGUCCCAGGUGACCAAAUGAUGGGAAACAUGAUCUUAUCUCUGUGAAAGGAGGAUCCAGGGAACUACAGGCCUGUCGGCCUGACCUCAGUGCCAGGGAAAGUCGUGGAGCAGAUUAUCCUGAGUGCCAUCAUGCAAGAUGUGCAGGACAAUCAGGGGAUCAGGCCCCUCCAGCAUGGGUUUAGGAAAGGCAACUAAAGACACACGUGAGGAAAAUGAACAGUCCAAGAUCAUUUUUCAGUAAGGCAAUAUAUGUAUUAUUGUUUGAAAUUCAUGCCUCAAACUAUAUGUAGAAGUCAUCAUCAUUGUAGAAGACAAAUAUCCUUGACCAUGAAGGAAAGAUUUAAUCUCCAAAAUGUAUGGGGUUUUUGUCCUAAAUCAGAUGUCAGCUGCAGUUCUUCUUAUUUACCCAUUGUCCAUUAGUUCCUAGUAAUUCAGUCUGUAUGAAAUCAUUUUCUUUGAAGUCUGUUGCCAACUCAUUAAAUGUUCUAAACUUUCCAGUACAUGGAUUUAUGAGCAAUUAAGAAUUUCUCAGACUCAGUAGUCAGGAAAUAUAGCUCAUUAUCUGUUGCAAAGGCAUUUGGCCAAUUUAAGGAGAUUCUUCAAUUGAAAAAAUGUUGUUUCCUAACAGUGUUACCCAGUUUCUUGCUUUUCAGAUAUUUUGUCCCAAACAUUUUUUUUCACACCCUACAAUGUCUCUAAUGUGAACAGCUCUUCCAUUGAAAAAAAUUGCUAUAUUUUACCUAGCUGUUUUCAAACGGUAAAUUUACUGAGCUUGUCUAAUGGCUCUGAUAUAAUGGGUGAAAAAACUCCAUUGUCUGAGUGCAGGUCUUGAGACAUAUAUUCAGACAAAUGUUUUACCUUAUUGCCCUUUUCUCCUUAUUCCUGGCAAUAUAUACACAGUAUGUUUGUGUUAACGUAUUUUCUCCAAAAUCCAAGGUCCUGCAGUUCCUUCUGCCAACUCUGCCAUUUAUUCGAAAUCUCUAUCCUUAAAUGGCAAUUUUCAUAGACCUACAGGAAAUGUAUCUGAGUGUGUCACUAUAUAAAGUUAGAUUUUCUGAACCUUUCAUCUUCUACCCCUUGGAUAAUUUUCCUACUUGUGUUAAAGUAGCGUCAUUUCUGUUGAAAGACUGCUCUUUUUGAAAUUUGUCACCAGGUGGUUCUCUAAACUUUAUUAGCACUUUCUAGCAGUACCUUUUAUUUACUGGACAAUUCUUCAAUGCUUUGAGUUGCUGGUGGUGUUAGCAAAGCAAUCACACAAGCAGUUUUGAAAGAUCUAUUAUCUGGGUGCAAUUUUUUGUGAAUGGACUUGCUGCUCAGAUUAUGUUCAAUGCUGUUUGUAAAAGCAUCACAAAAAAACAGUGUCUGAGUUAAGACCUGUACAAAACCAUUUAAGUAAUGCUAGAGUCCAGCCAGGGCCAGCUCUCAGCAAUCUGAUAUGAGCAAAAGAUGAAGUCAUGGUGCAGAGCAAAUCACACGUGCUACUUGGUCAUGCACAAAUCUCAGUAACGUCAUUCAUGUACAGAAGUGUUUGCAGUUUCAAAUCCGAUUCAUGGUGAAAGUAUUUACUAUGCUUAUCCUCAGUUCUAGGUAAAAAUCUCAGAUAUCUUUAGGAAAAAAAACUGAACCCCCCCCAACUUCUCCUUGGCUUAAAACAAAUCACAAUUAACCAAUUUGUUAAACUGUUUUCUUCAGUGCUUCCUGAACAGAAUUUCUGGUUCUUUGUAACCCUUAAACUACUGCCUGCCUGAAUCUUCUUUAGAAGGUUGGUGAAAAGUGUCAUCGUAUGUAUUUCCAGAAUGUGUUUUAAACUGUUGACUAGUACCUACACUUUAACUUUUUCCAACACCAUGCAAGACCACCUUAGGCUUCCCCAAAUCUACAGAUAUCUGUAUGCAAGAUGUAGCUAUAACCUCUUACUAAAAGCCAUCAAAUUUUUAAUUUCAUCAGAGUUGCAUUGUGCACAGGUAGCUAAUCACUAUUAAAUUAAUAAAUAAAUAAAGAGAGGAAAAUAAAAUACAUUUAGUUUAUUUAUAGACAAAUGUCCAAAACAAAAAAGGAAAAAAAAAGAUUUCAUGGUUUAUUUUCCUUCUCUGACAAGGAGCCUGCCUUCUGUCACAAACAGCUCCUACUUCUAAAGGCUAUUGAUAGGCAAUAUUAACAGCAUUUUACCACUCUUCUUGAUAGUAUUGUCAUACAUAUAUCAUAUAUACAUACUGACAUAUCAUCUAGAUGUAUAUGAGUAUAGAUGAAUGUAUGCAUAUGAAAUAUGUACACAUACAUGUUUAUAUAUGUACAUAUAUAUACAGAAAUUCAGGUACUUCAAAUGAUAAUGAAUGGUUUCCCAGGCCUCUGCAGUAUGCAUAGUAUAGGGUACAACCACCAGUUUUUAAGUAUUUCAAUUCUAGCGAAAAUAAUAUUCUGUAUGUAAAAUACUCUCCUUCAAGGUAGAUUUUCUUAACAGUCCUUUUCACCCAAAACUGCUUGCCUCACAGUAAGAUCUUUCAGUUUCAGUUCAGAUUAAAGAAAUGAACCAAUGAGAGAAGAAACAAAAUGCAGAAUAGCCCAUCUCUUUGUGUAAAACAUAUACAACACACAAACACUGUCAACAGCCUGGCGUCCUGUCCCAGACAUUUCUAGCAACAUGUAUUAAUAAAAAGCCUCUGUAUGCAAUGACAGCACCUUGUUAAAGCUCCAACAUCAAUCAUGUUUUUAAAGGAAUUUUGUUUUGCAUGUCCCUAAUUGAAUCCGUUGAAAAUAUACCAGAGAGGUGAGACACAUUCUUUGAUUCUUUUCUCCUCUGGCUCUUUAAUUACCCUUCCCUGAAAGGAACAGACAUUGAAUAAUAGAAAGACUAUUACAGGAAAGUUUCAAUAGAACACUGAAAUAUCUCACUACUGAGAUUUUUAAGGGAUAAUAUUUUUACUUAAAUUAUCUUGGAUAGACACAACUUUGGAGAGUGAAAAGGUAAAACCACUGGCAGAGCAGCUGCCUGUUUGAUGUCAGGUGCAAGCUUGAGAAUUACCCACAUGGCCCUGCCUGCAGAAGAAAAUGUACUCUGACAAGUGGAGGUCAGAUAAAACAGUUCCUCUUCUCAGCCCUCUGUUGGGCCUCUCACUUAUUUUACAAUUUUUCUCUCCUACCAUGACUGUCUUAAUUGUGACACUUUUGAUGCAUAUGAAGAAAAAAUGGCCCAAAUUGGCUCUGACUGCUGCACUCCAAAGGGGUCAGUAUACUGGAACUUGAUUUUUUCAGAGAAAGCUUCAGCCUUUGCUGCACAAAUCAAAAUUUAGCUAAGAAAUUUAGGGUUUUCAUUUCAAUUAAGCAAGAGUGCAGCACUCUGAAAACCAUGUUCACUGCAUAUUAGCACAUAAGUAACAUAAUUAUUUCAAUACCUUCAAAAGAAUAAUAUAGCAAUUUUGUUCAUCAGUCUGCCGCUGUAUCCUGUACCUUUGGUGAUCUGUUGAACUUUUGGCUUUAUCACAUAUGCAUUGCUAAACCCCCUUGAAUAGUUACACAGUACAGUUAUUUUAAGUAAAAUAGAUUUGUCACCAUUCUCUCACUCUCCUUGCUGUUACCUAACAAUGGCAGGUGUGCAAAGGCAAGAAACUGCUACAAGCCCCACUUUGGCUCCACACAGAACACAUGGAAUGAAAACUGAGAGAUGGAGCCAGAUGCCGCAGAGAGCUCAGGAUUUUUCAGAUGUGCAAAACCCCUAAGAGGAAGUGAACUCCCGGUUAUUUCUCAGCAAGAUACUCCAGCAAGGGACACGUGAAAAUCAUUGAAAAAUCUUAUUUCUUCUACACUCUUUCUAUAUUAAAAUCUGUUUAAAUCUGAAAA